rnacentral:lncRNA from 1 species
GAGAAGUCAGGCCAGAUUAAGCCAUAG